GCCUACGGGGCCAGCAGUAGGGAAUAUUGCUCAAUGGGGGAAACCCUGAAGCAGCAACGCCGCGUGGAGGAUGAAGGUUUUCGGAUUGUAAACUCCUUUUGUUAGAGAAGAUAAUGACGGUAUCUAACGAAUAAGCACCGGCUAACUCCGUGCCAGCAGCCGCGGUAAUACGGAGGGUGCAAGCGUUACUCGGGAUCACUGGGCGUAAAGAGCGCGUAGGCGGGAUAGCAAGUCAGAUGUGAAAUCCUAUGGCUUAACCAUAGAACUGCAUUUGAAACUGUUAUUCUAGAGUAUGGGAGAGGUAG
rnacentral:rRNA from 1 species